rnacentral:lncRNA from 1 species
UUAUGGAAUGCCGCGACCCUAUUGCGACACUUGGAUUCUUUCAAGGAUGAGGUAUCAGGGCUGGAUUUAUCUACUUGCCGCCCAUGGGCUUCCUGUAUUUUGCCGCCCCCUUCUCAUUCGUUUUGGAACAUCAAUAAAAACCAUCUAAAGAACGUGCCGGAGGGAGAAAGGUGCAAAAGACGCUCACAGACGGUGCGUCGGACACAUUUUUUGCAAAAGCCCUGUGUGUCGGACAGCCCUGUCAACACUACUAGCAAAAGCUCACGGAACUUUGCGCGAAAGUUAGGUUCCGUAAACCUAUCUCUGUGUAGACAAGGCCUUCCAUUUAUGAGAAAUGAACGAACAAAUUAUGAAAGACUAAACAUAAAUGUGGUUUAAUAAUUUUAACUUCCGCCGCCGCGUCGCGCUGACCGCAAUGUGUUUCGCGCAAUGCGUGAAGUAUUCCUACAGUCUUGUAGGCGCUAUACGUUUCAAGUCGACAGCUGCUGAACGCACUAUGCUUGACGCGAUGCGUGAAGUAUUCAUGCAGUCUUGUAGGCGCUAGUAUGUGUUUAUUCUCCUUUUCAUCUCAAGUCUUCGUCGUCAUUCCUCUCUGCGCCGCGCCAUUCCAGGCCAAAUUGCGCGUUUGGUUUCUCUCUUAACUCGACUAAUUGAAGGGCGCUGUCUCUUGUAUCACCGAAAGAAGACAAAAUUAGAAAUUGCUAUACUCUCGGGAAAUGAGAGAUUUUGUCGCCUUGUCUCGUUUGAAAUUUUUUUUUUCUAAAUCCGAUUUCAUUUAUAGAUACAGUAAGAAAACAUUACCUGGUUACAACCAUUUGGUACAUUUAAAGAAAAUUUCAAAAUUUGCCGCCAUGGGCCGCGGCCCAUGACAGGCCCUGACAGGCCCUGACGGGCCUAAAUCCGGCCCUGACAGGUAUAGAACGAUUUAAAAGGACACUGUAAACAUUAAUAACAAAAGAAAUAAAUCAAUCAAAAAAUUUAAAGAUUUGGUGUGUCAGAAAUGUCAUAGACAUUGCUAAUUCCUCCCACAGUGCUCUAAUUAUGAACAGACCUAGCUUUGUCUCGUUUGUCGAAUGUUUUUAUCCUUAAUCGAAGUCAAAGAACCAAGCAUAAAAAUAUAAGAAAGUAUAAAAUGUAUACUUUGACUUGAAAACUUAAAAAAGAGAGCGGAGUAAAGAAUGAUUCAAACCUCGACGAUUAUUUGGACGUAUUUAUGCGAAAAGGAAAUAUGUGCAAGUGGAAAGAUGGGGUGUGCUCGUUAGUUGGGUCAUAAGAAACAAUGUAGUUCCAACUGUAUGUAACAACAUGUAGUAAACAAACAUAGUUCCUUUUGAGAAAAUUGAAAAGCGGGAUUUGACAUUAAAUCAAAAGGAGCUACGCGCCAAAAUAUGUUAACUCAUGAGCCGCGGGCAUGCGGCAAGAGCCUUGUGGACAGGGCUCAUGCGUUAAUGCUCGACGUCGGCGACGGCGCGCCGGUCCCCCGUGCGCCUCCGCUUUUUCAUUGCCGCUGACGUCAUUGGCGCUU